AUGAACGCUAGCGACAGGCCUAACACAUGCAAGUCAGGGGCAGCACAAGGAGCAAUCUGAGGUGGCGACCGGCGCACGGGUGAGUAACACGUAUGCAACCUGCCUGUAAGCGGGGAAUAACCCGUUGAAAGACGGACUAAUACCGCAUAAUACUAAAUUACUGCAUGGCAAUUUAUUUAAACAUUUAUGGCUUACAGAUGGGCAUGCGCAUGAUUAGCUAGUUGGAGAGGUAACGGCUCCCCAAGGCAACGAUCAUUAGGGGUUCUGAGAGGAAGGUCCCCCACACUGGUACUGAGACACGGACCAGACUCCUACGGGAGGCAGCAGUGAGGAAUAUUGGUCAAUGGACGAGAGUCUGAACCAGCCAAGUCGCGUGCAGGAAGAAUGUCCUUAAUGGAUUGUAAACUGCUUUUGCAGGGGAAUAAAGUGCAUCACGUGUGAUGUUUUGUAUGUACUCUGCGAAUAAGGAUCGGCUAACUCCGUGCCAGCAGCGGC
rnacentral:rRNA from 1 species